rnacentral:misc_RNA from 4 species
GAGCUAGACUCUCCCUC